rnacentral:lncRNA from 1 species
GUGUUGACGAGAGCGCUGAGGAGGCCGGAGGACUGAAGUGAGUUGAAACCGGCUCUGACUGGCAAAGGCCCCAGUUUUCUGUCAAGGAGGAUGGCAGCUCGCGGGUUUGGGGGACCCAGGUACCCCCUAGAUCGGACGCUUACGCCUUACGAACUGGAGGUCUCGCGCUUCUCGGCCUCUCGGGCCAAUGCUGUUCUAGAACCUACCUGUUUUUUCCCGAAAAAGCCGAGGGGCGGGGUUGGAAGGAACUUUUUGUUAAAAAGAAUGAAGUAGAUUUCUAUCAGCUAAACUAUAUAUUGAAAUUACUGUAAUUUAUAAGGUGGCCUCCCAUUUAGAAUAUUCUUUUUGACUUGGAAUGUGUAUGUAUGUGACGCGAGAAAUUCACGAAGGGCCUGCGUGUUACGUUCCCGCGUCUCCACCUGCCUGCUCUAUGUUUGACGAUUAGCAUAUAGUCUAUGAGCCUUUGCUAUUUCUGGAUCUUUAUAUUUCUGUAUAGGUCUAGAAUUUCCUCAUCAAGUGCGACAGAGUUUUUGUCGCCUUUAAGAUGUUAAUUAAGAUAAAAGAGGACAAUUUGGGGGGAGUUGACAUCUUCGCGUUAUUGACACCUUUAACCUAGGAGCAUGCUACCGUGUUCUGUCUAUUCCAACAACAAAGCUGCAUCCUGUACCACUUCUCCGUUGGUAAUUUACAGGUUAAGCAAUUUAAGACUUAAAAAUUCCUUAUGAGUAAAAAAAUACAUUGGGGCGGUGUUUAUUCUGAUUUACAUCUGAUGUUGUAAACUACAGGUCCUCUCUACAUCCUUAAAAUUACCUAACUGUACCUCAUGAUACACUAUCAUCUUUACAACAGCCAUCUAGUAACCUUGCCCUGGAUGACUAUAUUCAUUAAUAUGCUAUCUUUUGUUGUUUUAAUUGGGCCACUAGUUAGUAAUUUAAAGUGGGCUACUAUCCAAAGUUGCUUUAUAUUCUUUGAGUUUUCUUAAAGACAAAAACAAAAAACAAAAAAAACCAACAUUCUGUAACCUUUCCCCCUCUCCUCUUAAAAUUUUGUUUGUAAACCUUAUAGCCUUUAUGUGAUAAGCUAUUUCUCUGAACCCUGACCCCUUCUGAGAUAGGAUUUUUCUUUUAUGUCCUGACUGUCCUUGAAAGGACAGAGAUUCGAAUGCCUCUGCUUCUGCUUCCCAAGUGCUGGGAUUAAAGGCAGGGGUCACACCACCUGGCUGUAUCUGCUCUUAAAAUUCAAAUUCCUUGAUACUUCCUCACAGUGGAUCACCUUAGGUUCCAUUUCACUUAGUUGGAAGAAGUAAUUCAAACACACCUUCCACAAGCUCUUACCAAUACAUCUCCUCACCUACCUGAAUUUUGCACUCUUGUUUUUCUACUGACUCUCCUGUUACAAUGGAACUUUUUAAAAUUUAAAUCCAUUCUUCAUUAGGUGGACACUUAGUUGAUUACAUAUCUGGGCUAUUGUGAAUGGUGCUAUAGUAAACAAGAUUGUAAACAUCUUUUUAACAUGCUAGUUUCCUUUGGAUAUAUAUCUAAUAGUGGAAUUACUGGAUCCUGUGGUAGUUCUGUUUCUAAUUUUUGCUAACAUCCAUACUCUUUUUUUUUUUUUAAUAAUGGCUAUAUGAAAAUAUUCCCUCCAACAGGUGCGUGUUCAUGUUUCUCUUUUGAUAAAAAGGACUUUUUGUUUUUUUAGUCACUCCUACAUUCAGCAGAUAGUUGUUUAAUGCAUGUGUCUUUUUUUUUUUUUUUUAACGUUAGUAGUUGCAGUAAGGUGAAGAAAACUAUAAAGGAUAUGUCAGAGAAUAAACAAGAAGUACAUCCAGAUACUAUUACAGAUGUGGAAGCUGUUAUAGAUACAGAGGAAGAACUUAUUAAAGAAUGUGAAGAAAUGUGGAAAGACAUGGAAGAUGUAAGUUUCAACAGAUAAAAGUGAUAUAUUAAUAUAAUUUUACAUAAUUGACUUAGGAAAGAAACCGUGUUAGUUUCCGCAUAACUAUUUUUUUUAUAAAUUAUUUGUAUAGAUUUUAUACCUAAAAGCAUUCUUUUAAAAAUUUUUAUACUUGAUAAGCUAU